AGUGAACGCUGGCGGCAGGCCUAACACAUGCAAGUCGAGCGGCAGCGCGUCCGACCACCCUCGGGUGGUCGGAUGGCGGCGAGCGGCGGACGGGUGAGGAAUGCAUCGGAAUCUGCCUCGUUGUGGGGGAUAACGUAGGGAAACUUACGCUAAUACCGCAUACGACCUACGGGUGAAAGUGGGGGACCUUCGGGCCUCACGCGAUGAGAUGAGCCGAUGCCGGAUUAGCUAGUUGGCGGGGUAAAGGCCCGACCAAGGCGACGAUCCGUAGCUGGUCUGAGAGGAUGAUCAGCCACACUGGAACUGAGACACGGUCCAGACUCCUACGGGAGGCAGCAGUGGGGAAUAUUGGACAAUGGGCGAAAGCCUGAUCCAGCCACGCCGCGUGGGUGAUGAAGGCCUCGGUUGUAAG
rnacentral:rRNA from 1 species